AAGGGCUUAGCUUAAUUAAAGCGACUGAUUUGCGUUCAGUUGAUGUGGGAUAGAAUACUGCAGUCCUUA
rnacentral:tRNA from 1 species